rnacentral:rRNA from 1 species
CCCUUAGAUGUUCUGGGCCGCACGCGUGCUACACUGAGUGGAUCAGCGGGUCAGGUUGCGCGAAAGCGUUUCCUAAUCUUUAAAUCCGCUCGUGAUGGGGAUUGACGGUUGCAAUUUUCUGUCAUGAACGAGGAAUACCUUGUAAGCGCGGGUCAUCAUCCCGCGCUGAAUACGUCCCUGCCCUUUGUACACACCGCCCGUCGCUCCUACCGAUUGAGUGUCUCGGUGAAUUCUUUGAUCUUCUGUCGAUUCAGUUCACUGAUCCGACGGUGGAAAGUUGAAUGAACUUCGUCACUUAGAGGAAGGAGAAGUCGUAACA